rnacentral:rRNA from 1 species
AACGAACGCUGGCGGCAGGCUUAACACAUGCAAGUCGAACGGUUGUAGCAAUACAGCAGUGGCGCACGGGUGAGUAACGCGUGGAUAUCUGCCUUUUGGUUCGGAAUAACUCCGGGAAACUGGAGCUAAUACCGGAUGGUUCCUACGGGAUAAAGAUUUAUCGCCAAAAGAUGAGUCCGCGUACGAUUAGCUAGUUGGUGAGGUAAUGGCUCACCAAGGCGACGAUCGUUAGCUGGUCUGAGAGGACGAUCAGCCACACUGGGACUGAGACACGGCCCAGACUCCUACGGGAGGCAGCAGUGGGGAAUAUUGGACAAUGGGGGCAACCCUGAUCCAGCCAUGCCGCGUGAGUGAUGAAGGCCUUCGGGUUGUAAAGCUCUUUUGGCGGGGACGAUGAUGACGGUACCCGCAGAAUAAGCCCCGGCUAACUUCGUGCCAGCAGCCGCCGUAAUAC